rnacentral:lncRNA from 1 species
CGCCACUCCUUUCCGCCCGCGGGCGCUCAGCGGAGGACGGCGUGGGGGUGGGGGUGGCCUGUACCCGGAACCCAGUGCAUGAAGCGCGGGCGCCCAGCCGGAAGGCGAAGCGGAGCCCGGCGCCGAGAGGUUCGGUUCCGUCCAGUCGCGCUGUGGAGGGACAGGGCGUCCCCAGCCGCCUGCCUUUGCCACUAGGAUUCUGAUGUCCCGUUCACCUCAGCGCUGUGGAGACGACACGGGCUUGUUCCCUGUCAAGAAGGUGGACUUGAACUUUUAGAAGGGGCGAGGAAUAGAGCUGUGAAGUGGGCAUCCCUGGAAUUUUUAAAAGGUUGACACCAGUAUUUGAGCUAUGGAAUCAGACCUUUUUUUUGGAUCCCCUAUGCAGUUUUUAAAAAGGAGGCUUAUGUGAAAGGGUUGGGAUGCCUGAAUAUUUGAAUAGACAAGGUAAGCAUUCAAAUUAACUCCCAAGAUCAUUGUGGGAAUUCAGUCAUUUAUUAUGAAAACCAAUUUUAGUUAUUUUACACUUUUUUGGGGGGG